rnacentral:rRNA from 1 species
CCUACGGGUGGCUGCAGUGAGGAAUAUUGCACAAUGGAGGAAACUCUGAUGCAGCAACGCCGCGUGGAGGAUGACGCAUUUCGGUGUGUAAACUCCUUUUAUUAGGGAAGAUUAUGACGGUACCUAAUGAAUAAGCACCGGCUAACUCCGUGCCAGCAGCCGCGGUAAUACGGAGGGUGCAAGCGUUACUCGGAAUCACUGGGCGUAAAGGGUGCGUAGGCUGGCUUUUAAGUCAGAUGUGAAAUCCAAUGGCUCAACCAUUGAACUGCAUUUGAAACUGAAGGCCUAGAGUUCAGAAGGGGCAGAUGGAAUUAGUGGUGUAGGGGUAAAAUCCGUAGAUAUCACUAGGAAUAUCAAAAGCGAAGGCGAUCUGCUGGGAUGAUACUGACGCUGAGGCACGAAAGCGUGGGGAGCAAACAGGAUUAGAUACCCGUGUAGUC